CAUAGUUAAUAUUUUGAUACUGUUUUCAAGUGCAAUAUUUAAGAGAAGCAAAAUAUGAAGAAUUAUUAGCAGGAAACUGAAAAAUUCAAGAAAGAACAUGUUCACUGAAUGAUAAAACCUCUGUGUUUCAAUAUCAUCUAUGUUGUCGAUUACCACAAAAUGUGUUAUAUUUAAGAUACGGUAGCUGUUGUAGAGCAUAAUAUCGAUUUUAGUUAAACAGAGAAGAAAAACAUAUCAAUAAAUAAUUCUUUCCUGCCUGCCAGAAAUAAUCAAGAUUCUCUAUCGACUUGAUACUCGAAGUUCCAGACCAAAUGUCUGUAUACUUGGCAUUUGAAAAGAAAAACUUCUGAAUGAAAUAUAAUGGAUAUUAAGCAAAUGAAAUUUGUUGAAGUUCUUGAGAUGUGGACAUACAAAUAGUAAUGGACUUUUUGGGGAGUUCUAUGACGAAAUAGGAUGAUACAUAAAAAGAAAUGUCCUAUGAAGACUUUGGAGAACAUUAAGAGAAAAUUAAUAAUGGUUAGGAAAUAAAAUGUUUCAAAAUGGAAUACGAGAGUAGAAAGUGGUUGGCGAUAACGUUUGGUAUCCAAGUUGUAUUGUAUCUUUAAAAAUAUGAUUAUCACUAUAAAAUUACAAUCUCUAUAUAUCUAUAAUUCAUGAGUAAAAUUAUAGAGAAUAAAAUUAUUUUCUGUGGCUGUAUUAUAUUUUCAUAUAUAAUGUUUGUUUUUACGUUAAAAUUGUAUAUUUUAAAAUGUUAUAUAUUUAUAAGAAAAUAGCUGUACACACAAAAUUACAAGAGAGGCAUAUCUUAAUUUAAGGCUUGGUUUUUAAGGUGUUGACGAACAUCGACAAUGACAGCUAGUGAUCAUUACCAGAAUAUAUUACAAUGAAUUUAAUUAAAGAGUUUUUUAAUGACGAAUGUUAAAUAUCCAUCACCAGGCAAUCAUUGCUGGGGUUCAUCCGCACCAUAAAUCUAAGCAUUUAUUAACUGCCUACAUUUGAAUUAUAACUAUGUAAGCACUUAGGGAGUGUGACUUUGUUUAAGGGGUGAAUUUGUGGGACAAGUGAAGUGAGAUCCCGGAAUAUCACACGAGUUGCAUAAAAUCAUAUAUCGUAAAGUAUGUAAUAUCAAAUGUGAUUUUUUUCUAAUUUUGACAAAAAAUUAAAGCUUAGCUUUAAUUCUCUUACUUCAUAAAUUUUAAUUCAGUGAGAUAAAAUCUAAAUUAGUUUUGAAAUUCAUUUUGAGAAAGAUGUCAGUAUAGAAAAAUGUAAUAAUUAAAAAUGUUUUCACACGAUUGAGAUUAUUUUAUUACUGUCAGAUGCUUGACAAGCCCUAUAAGUAGAAUUUACCAUGUAAUAAUUUGUAAUGUUAACUAUACACAUGCAGAAAAAAUCGUAGUUAAUUGUUAACGUUUAAAUUGUUUUGCAAUUUUUAAAUACAUUUUCAUGAAAACAUUUUUCAAUCGUGAAAAAAAAUAAAUAUAAGAUAUGUCUCCUAAGUGUAUAAUAAAUUCUCGGAAAUUGAAAAAAUUCUUGGUUUCACAUUGUUUUUUCAAAGAUUUCCUCGAAUUUGUUAUAAGGCAUUUACCAACCUGUUGUUUAAUCUCUUGAACGCUUAUGAUGUAUUUAAUUGGCAUGAGCAAAGUCAAUAAAUAAAUAGUGAUUAUGACGGAUAUAUACGCUGCUAAAUAAUUUGUGUCUGCUUACGAUGGAAAAGUUUGCUUGUGCAUAUCUAUUAUCUAUGAAGAUCGAUAGCUACUAGUGUGGUAUAAGUUGUUUUGUUCAUAACGGUGUAGAUCUUUGAACGGGAAUAUUAUUGUAUCUCAUAUGUUUCACGAGUUUUACAUACAUAUUUAUAACGAUUUAGCAAAUAUAUUAACUGAAAUAGAGUCAGAACCGCUUGAGGUUAUGUGUACAUAUUCAGGUAUUGCUUGUCCCAUUUUUCCGUUUACCGGUAACACGAGAAUCCGAAUUCCUUCUCUAUAUACUGAUUGCAAGAAUUAUAUGUAUUUGCAACAAUUUUAAUAUUAUAUUUGUUCUGUUUUUAUUUUCUUAGAAUUUAAAUGCAGUAUACUGUUUGUGACGACCACAAUUCUAUUGUAAACUGAAUAUGACGAAUAUGCUAGGGCAAAAAGGGAUAACGCCAGCAAAGAGUGCACUUCUCGUAACGGAUCAAGGCGUUCAAGAGGUUAAUGUACUAUGUAAUUCAUGUGUAUUCUAACAAUUUUGUUUGAUUAUGAACUCUCCCCGUGUUCAUAUAAUUUACGUGUACCUAUUUUUUCUAUAACUUUUCAUUAAAAAUCGUUACAUUUAAA